rnacentral:rRNA from 1 species
AUACGGAGGCUCCGAGCGUUAUCCGGAUUUAUUGGGUUUAAAGGGCGCGUAGGUGGAUUGUUAAGUCAGUUGUGAAAGUUUGCGGCUCAACCGUAAAAUUGCAGUUGAAACUGGCAGUCUUGAGUACAGUAGAGGAGGGCGGAAUUCGUGGUGUAGCGGUGAAAUGCUUAGAUAUCACGAAGAACUCCGAUUGCGAAGGCAGCUCACUAGACUGUUACUGACACUGAUGCUCGAAAGUGUGGGUAUCAAACAGGAUUAGAUACCCUGGUAGUCCACACAGUAAACGAUGAAUACUCGCUGUUUGCGAUAUACAGUAAGCGGCCAAGCGAAAGCGUUAAGUAUUCCACCUGGGGAGUACGCCGGCAACGGUGAAACUCAAAUGAAUUGACGGGG